CACGUGUCCUUAACCAUAACAACGAUGGCGGGUGUGUUGAGACUGCACGAGAAUGACUUUAUUUUGGUCUGUAACGAGCUUGCUCUCUUUUCUAAAACUUAUCUCUGGGCGGUGAACAGAAGACCGCGCGCUCCCGUUAAGCCUUUCGUGCCCCGGAAAGGGGAGAGCAGAAAAGUCGUGGGACUGACAUCACUAAAAUACUUCUGACACUUUCAGGGAAGCCAUACUUGAAGUCUGAAUGAGACGUUACAAAAGAGAAACAGCAGGCAGUAUAAACCCAGGUGGACAACUUUGAGGACGUUUGGCAGCACAAUAUGAAGAUUGCUGUUGUUCGUGCUUCCUACGCUGAAGAUCCUGUAGAUGUCUCUCUUAUUCUUGACGGCAAGGAGGUUGUGACUGGAUGUGGAAAUACUGCAAAGUUCCAACUCCUGAGAUUACCAUGACCUGGGUGAGUGAGGAUCUACAGAGAGCACAACUGACUUCAUGGAGGCUCACACAGAUAUCAAAACCUAAACAGGAAGUGAAAUUGAGUUUGUUGCUUCCAGAUAAGACAACAAAUGAAGUGGAAACAGCUGAUCAGUCACGUGACACAGAACUCAACAAGCACUGGCCACAGCUGCAGACACAUCGCUUUCUGGAGACUCUGCUUUACCUCCAUCUCCUGGAGAAUCACCGUUAUUUGGUGGAAAUAGGAU
ensembl:lncRNA